AUUGAACGCUGGCGGCAGGCUUAACACAUGCAAGUCGAGCGGGGAAUGGUAGCUUGCUACCUGACCUAGCGGCGGACGGGUGAGUAAUGCUUAGGAAUCUGCCUAUUAGUGGGGGACAACAUCUCGAAAGGGAUGCUAAUACCGCAUACGUCCUACGGGAUAAAGCAGGGGACUUUCGGGCCUUGCGCUAAUAGAUGAGCCUAAGUCGGAUUAGCUAGUUGGUGGGGUAAAGGCCUACCAAGGCGACGAUCUGUAGCGGGGCUGAGAGGAUGAUCCGCCACACUGGGACUGAGACACGGCCCAGACUCCUACGGGAGGCAGCAGUGGGGAAUAUUGGACAAUGGGGGGAACCCUGAUCCAGCCAUGCCGCGUGUGUGAAGAAGGCCUUUUGGUUGUAAAGCACUGUAAGCGAGGAGGAGGCUACCGAGAUUAAUACUCUUGGAUAGUGGACGUUACUCGCAGAAUAAGCACCGGCUAACUCUGUGCCAGCCGCCGCAGUAACAC
rnacentral:rRNA from 1 species